rnacentral:RNase_P_RNA from 2 species
GGAGCUAGCUAGGCGGUCGCUGCCUGUUUUCAUACGAACGCAGGGAGAGGAAAGUCCGGACUCCACAGAGCAGGAUGUCGGCUAACGACCGACCACCGUGAGGUGAGGAAUAGGGCCACAGAGACGAGCGUAUUCAGUUACGGUGAAACGCGGUAACCUCCAUCCGGAGCAAAACCAAAUAGGCAGGCUACGAUGCUGCUCGCUGAGCCUGCGGGUAGGUUGCUUGAGCGUACAGGUAACUGUGCGCCUAGAGGAAUGACUGUCCCCGACAGAAUCCGGCUUAUCGGCUAGCUCCAACU